rnacentral:lncRNA from 11 species
AUGGUCAGAAAGGUGCAUGAAGCUCCUUGCGUGGCAGGGAGCAACAGCAGCAACACAGGGACAAAAUAUACCCUUCAAACCCAACCAACUGUCCAGAUGGUUACAAAACUCCAGGACAGUCCUCUAAGUUUUCUGCAAACUCCAGAGCAUCCCCCAACUUUGCCUAAAGCAGGGCAACGACAAGUUAUCACUGGAAGUCCCUGUGCAUCAUGGAGAGAGAAAAACAGUGGAUUCAAGGUCUAUCCUACCACUCAUCAAUUUGAGGUACCAAAUUCUGUAUUUUUGUGUGCUGAAAUUCCAAAAGGAAUGUUUACUUUGCUUCUAUGUGUCCUCAUGGGUCUCCUGGGUGUGGCCGGUGCUCAACCUGGAAAAGCUUCUGUGACAGAUUAUACACAAUCAACAUUGCAUUACGCAGAAAGCAGAGAUCUCAUCUUUUCAGGAACAUCCAGGGGCUCAGAGGUCUCUGCUGAAAAUUCAGCAUCCACAUUCAAGCAUCAGAGCAUGAUUCCAGACAAGGCCCAAAGCACAAAUGCAAGCACACCGUCUCUAUUGAAAAUGAGCAGAUUGAAAGGAGAGGCUUCCACGGCACAAACUGAGCCGGAGCAUCAAAUGGACUUCCUGGCCAAAAUUAGGCAGAAAGCCAGUGAAGAUACACUUAUUGGGAAGAGGCAAGAAGCACCACUGUCUUCCGUUGUCUGUUGUGCCCUCACCACUGGAUCAGCAAAUGGUGGCCUUCCUCUAGGCACUGUUGGCUAUGAAGGUAGGACUAUGAGGCAAGUGAAAGCUAAUCUGCAGGAAACAGGGCAAGCUCAAAUCCCAAAGAACCACGAUCUUGGACUUGUUAUUCCAUCUCCUGAGUCAUACCAUCCCAGCAGCAAAUAUAGUUCUUCUGGAGAUAAUCUGCAAAAGAUGAAGACUCCAUCUUAUUCUAAGAUACUCGAUGAACUAAUUUUUUAUUCUUCACCCACGAUAGAGUCAAAGACCAACACCAGCAGAAAAAAUCACUCCGAUGAGAAUGAUAUGAAAAUCCUACGCCCUUUUCUAGUUCUGUUUUUAUUCCUCUUUGUCCCAGUUCUACUAUGUAUAUUGUGUUAUUAUGGGGAGAGAAAAGAAGAAUACAAUUAUGCGUGAAAUUGGAUAAGGGGAAAUGUGGCACUCGGAGCAGAGAAUAGGCCAGUGGACAACUAUGACUAUAUUGUCUUGAUUCGGCAGACUAUUUGUACAUAUAUAUACAUACAUAUAUACACACAUACACAAUAUAAUUUACAAUAAUAUAUAAUAAUUAUAACAUACUGUAUAUACAUAUAAUAUUCAUAAUAUUAUAUUGUAAUAUGAUAUAAUACUAAUAAUACAAUAUAAUAAUAUUAAUUAUAUAUUAUAUUUUACAUGUAAUAUUAAUAAUAGUGCAAUAUAUCGAUAUAGUACAAUAUAGUAAUUUAUUGCCAGUAUUGUACUAUGCUAAUAAUAUAAUGUAUGUAAAUUUAAUUUGUAAGCCGCUCUGAGUCCCCUUCAGGGUGAGAAGGACGGCAUAUAAAGGUAGCAAAUAAAUAAAUAAAUACAUAAGCAAACAUGAUCUAAUGCCAAUGGAUUGAGUGUCUCCUAAAGGUAUGACUCUGGAGACCAGAAUUCAAACUCAGUCAUGGAAGCACACUGGGAGACUUUGGGCAAGUGACACUCUUUGAGCCUCAAAGGAAAGCAAAGGCAAGCUCUUUCUAAACCAGGGGUCCUCAAACUUUUUAAGCCGAGGGCCGGUCCACAAUCCUUCCGACUGUUGAGGGGCCGGAUUAUCAUUUGAAAAAAAAAAAUACAAACAAAUUCCGAUGCACACUGCAUAUGUCUUAUUUGUAGUGCAACAACAACAACGAUAGAACAAUACAAAAUUUUAAAAUAAAAACAAUUUUAACCAACAUACAUUUAUCAGGAUUUCAAUGGGAAGUGUGGUCCUGCUUCUGGCCAAUGAGAUAGUCAAGUUAAUUAAGGUUGUUGUUGUUGUUGUUGUUGUUGUUGUGUGCCUUCAAGUCAUUUCAGACUUUGGGUGAACCUAAGUCUAAAAUCUAUUUAUUAUUUAUUUACUGCAUUUAUUUACUACAUUUGUAUCACAGCCUUCUCACCCCAAAGGGGACUCAGAGUGGCUUAUAAAUUAUAUGAACAUACAAUAUAUUAUAUUAUUAGCAUAGCACAAUAUUAGCAUUAUAUAUUACUAUAUUGAACUAUACCAUUAUACUGUAAUAUUAUUAGUAAUAUAUGUAAUAUAGAAUAUAUAGUUAAUAUUAUUAUAUGGUAUUAUUAUUAGUGUUAUAUUGUAUUACAUUAUAAUAUUAUUAUCAAUAUUAUAUGUAUAUACAAUAUAUUAUAUUAUAAAACUGAGGGCGGGGGCUGGGUAAAUGACCUCGGAGGGCCGCAUCCGGCCCCCGGGCCUUAGUUUGGGGACCCCUGUUCUAAACAAUCUUUACUCUGUAAUAGAUCCUUCCAUGCCAGAUAUAUGAUUAUAUCAUCCAUUGGGACUUCUGUGGGAUCCAGAUAUGUGGCUAUGGGGACAUAGGCAAAAUUUCCCUGACCCCUCUCCUGUAUUAUAGUUCUGUAUACAGAACUAAUAUACCAUGGCCAUAUGGAAUUCUGGUCCUUGACUGAACUGAAAUAAAAUGCACAAAAAUAUGUAGGAGUGGGCUUUUUUUUGCAGUGAUCUUUGAGAAAAAAUUAAAUCAUAACCAAUAUAAAAUUCUAUAUUGUUAGAAAGGAAAAUAUCAUAAACUCAGAGGUGCUUCCAGAGUUGCUAUGCCAUUCUUUGAUGCAUAACCAUAGGAUCUUAACCUGGCUCUUCCAAAAGGCCUUCGAUGUUUAGUUGCUGCUGGAUUGAUCUAUCUGUCCAUUCCAUAAUUGUCCCAUUGUUGUUGUCUUGCCAUUUUAUACCGCACUUUAUUGUCCAUUCAACUUGAGAUUUCCUUUUCCCAUUUCGUAACACUCUGCAUUUCGCCUGGGAUCUAUGAAUUAGUCUCCUGUUUUUAACACUGUAUCCUGCUUGUUGAUUUUAAUGAUUGUUUUUAUUGAUGUUGAUGUUUUUUUUACUGGGAUAAUUGUUUUAUUGCUUUGUUACUGUUAUUUGUUUGUUUUAUCGGGCCUGGCCCCAUGUAAGCCGCCCCGAGUCCCUUCGGGGAGAUGGGGCAGGGUAUAAAAAUAAAGUUAUUAUUAUUAUUAUUAUUAUUAUUAUUAUUAUUAUUAUUAUUAUUAUUAUUAUUAUUAUUAUUAUCCCAUGGAAAGCAAUGGUUUUAACCUGGAUUGCUUUCUCUUAUAUCCUAUGUGGUUCGAUGCAAAUCAAUAAAAUCCCAUGGAAAGCAAUGGUUUUACCCUGGAUCGCUUUCUCUUGUAUCCUCUGCGGUUCCAUGCAGAUUAAUAGGAUCCCAUGGAAAGCAAUGGCUUUAAUCUGAAUCGCUGUAUCUUGUAUCCUUGGGGUUCGAUGCAAAUACAUAGGAUUCCAUGGAAAGCAAUGGUUUUAACCUAUAUCACUGCCUCUUGUAUCCUAUGGGGUUUGGGUCAGAACAAUUUUUCUCAUGGGAAAAAGCGGUUUUAAACUGGUGUCAGUUGCCUUUAAUGUAAGAGGCUUUGAGCAGGGCAAGGGAUGUUUGGGUUUUUGAAUAUUUUUGUUUCUCCUGAUUAAAAACAAAAAAGUCACACUGACCUUGUGAUGAAUUUAAGAGGAAUGCAUUUCCAGAUCUUAAAUUUCCAUGCGUGUGAUGGAGAGGCAGAACCCGAAAUGGGACUGCUGACAAUAUAAGAGGGGCGAUUAUCUAUCAAUAUGCGGAUGACACCCAACUCCUUCUGUGCUUGGAGCCUGGAGCAACGUCAAUACCAGACAAUUUCACCUUAUGUCUGGAGGCUCUGUCGAACUGGCUACGUGCUAGACUGAAGGUGAACCCGGCAAAGACUGAGAUUCUCUGGCAUGGCCGCUCGACUGGUCUGACCCAUUUGCUACCCACCUUCGAUGGUGCUGCCCUAUCUCCUUCUCCUAUCGUUAAGAGCCUGGGUGUCGUUUUAGAUUCGCAGCUGACAAUGGAAGCUCAGGUCGCUGUUGCUAGCAAACAGGCCUUUUUCAAUCUACGGCAAGCGAGGCAACUGGCACCCUAUCUAUCUGAUGAGGCGCUGGCAACAGUCAUCCAUGCCACGGUCACGUCUAGGCUGGACUAUUGCAACGCCCUGUAUGCUGGCCUUCCGAUGUCCACAACCCGAAAGCUCCGUAUUGUUUAGAAUGUGGCAGCCAGGCUACUCACAAGAACACCCAUGAAAUGCCACAUAACACCAGUGCUGCAGCAUCUGCAUUGGCUUCCAACUGAUUAUCGUGGUCUAUAUAAGAUGCUAGUUCUGACCUUUAAAACUCUUUACGGCCAGGGCCCUUUGUACCUUAGGGACCGUCUCUCCUUCUCCCAUCAUCGGAGGUCGCAACGACCAUCCCAACACGACUUACUUUACAUACCGGGUCCUAGAGAAGUGCACUUGGAAAGGACCAGACGCAGAGCUUUUUCUAUUUCUGCCCCUGCCUAUGGAAUGCCUUGCUGCCCUACAUGAGAGCCAUGCGUGAGUUAGGGCCUUUUACCCUAGCACUCAAAACAUGGCUGUUUACUAGAGCUUUUAAUCUAUGUUAAUUUUAUCAAUAUUUGUAUGUAUGUAUUUUUAUCCUUUACAAUUUUAUCUUGUAAAUCACCUAGAGCAUCGUGGAUGGAGGGCGAUUAAUAAGUAAUUAAAUGAUGAUGAUGAUGAUGAUCUAUGCUAAAAGGAUGGUCACCCAUGUUUUCCCCUCUCAAUGUGAUGAGGCCCAGAGAUUAUACUUUGCUGCCCCACCACAAGGCAAGUAUGCAUAGGGAUAAAACAGAUACAUGAUAGAAAUGGAAACACUCUCGUCUUGGAAAACCUGCUCCUUCUGGAGCAAAGAGCCAAGUGGUGGCAAGGAACUGGUGGGGCCUUCUCCUUUUAGUAGGGUCUUUGGG